CCUGGAGAGGUAAAAAGGAUUCAAAUAUUUGUUCUCAAGGUUGGGAUGACUUUUAACAUCCUUGAAGAUGCUGCAAAAUUCUACAAGGAUUAUUCAAAAGCUGCAGGUUUUUCUACAAGAGUUCAGAGAACAAAUAAGAAGGGAAACAAAAUUAAGAAUCAAUU